CGCCUGCGAAAGUUUACCGGCUGCCGCGGUGAUGGAUCACCGUUUCAGUGGCAUUUAAAUCCCCGGCGCUCCUCAGUCUAGGUGACGCGCGGUCGCCCCCCCAGGCAGCCCGGGCCGCGGCGGCCGCUGCCAGAGCUGACUUGGAGCACUGGGGCCAAAGGGAGUAGAGAUUGACUUCUGCGCGCGCCCGACUCUGCUCGCCUCCGCCUCCAGGAUGUGGGGGAUGGGAGGCGACCCUCCACUGCCCUUUCCCCACCCAGCCCAGAAAGCUGAACUGGCAAGAGGUCUGUUUUGCCUGAACCCAUCAACAACUGGGAAAUAAUCAACCACACUGAAAAUGGGGAGAGAGGGGGGAGGAGCUGGAAUGUAGACGUUUGAAACAAAUGCGCAUAAGUAAAUGAAUUUUUGAUAACUUGGUUAUUGACCUAGAGACUGAUAGUUUGUUGUUAAGGGAACUCCACUUUACUUAUCCUAGAUCUGGGAGUUUCUGUAGGCACUUUAUUUCUCAACUUUCAAAAGCUUGGGCUGGAGCCAACUCAGGCUGCCCAAUCUUGUUUCUAUCACUAAUUUAACUCUAUGGCUUGAGUCUCAACACUGAAAACCAAAUCCAUUCCCUUGGGGGGGGAGAAAAAAAACUUGCUAGAGCCCUAGCCACUUUCUGGCUUUCUUCUUUGUUGUUGUCUAUUGCAGACUUUGAAUGUGCCACCCUAAUAAAAUAUAUUAAAAUUGAAAAGGUAAA